rnacentral:rRNA from 1 species
AACGAACGCUGGCGGCAGGCUUAACACAUGCAAGUCGAACGCCCCGCAAGGGGAGUGGCAGACGGGUGAGUAACGCGUGGGAACGUGCCCUUCGCUUCGGAAUAGCCCCGGGAAACUGGGAGUAAUACCGAAUACGACGUAUUGGGAACGAUUUAUCGGCGAAGGGUCGGCCCGCGUUGGAUUAGCUAGUUGGCGGUGGAAUGGACCACCGAGGCUACGAUACAUAGCUGGUCUGAGAGGAUGAUCAGCCACACUGGGACUGGGACACUGCCCGGGGUAGUACGGGGGGAUGGAGUGGGGAAGCUUGGACAAUGGGCGCAAGCCGGAUCCAGGCAUGCCGCGUGAGUGAAGUAGGCCUUAGGGUUGUAAAGCUCUUUAGCCGGAGAAGAUGAUGACGGUAUCCGGAGAAGAAGCCCCGGCUAACUUCGUGCCAGCCGCCGCAGUAAUAC